UGGGCUCCCUUGCCACACAUGGAGAAGGCCCCAAGCCUACACCUGGGAGGGCCAAUCAGACCCCAUGUGCUUGCUCUGUUUUUGUUUUUGUUUCCUUCCUUCCUUCCUUCCUUCCUUCCUUCCUUCCUUCCUUCCUUCCUUCCUUUUUUUUUUUUUUUUAACUUUUGCAGAGAUAGGGUCUCCCUAUGUUGCCCAGGCUGGUCUCAAACUCCUGGUCUCAAGUGAUCCUCCAGCCUUGGCCUCCUCCUAAAGUUCUGGGAUUACAGGCAUGAGCCACCACAUCCGGCCUUCUGUUGUUGUUGUUGUUUUUUGUCCUUUCUUUUCCCUUCUUUCCUCAUCUGGUUAUUUAUUUUUCCUUCUCCCUUCUCUUUUAUUUCUGUUUAUUUUUCUCUCUUCUUUCUUCUGCAAGCAUCCUCCUUUGCUUAUGCCUACUUCUUGUCUCCUGUGACCUUCCCCAGGGCUGUCACACUCAGAUUUUGCCCUGACCAGGAGUGCCUGGCCAAGGAAGAGAGUGGGGAUUGAGCUCGCCACGCCAAGCACCUAGCCACACUGAAGGGGACGCCUUUUCUAACAAGCAAGAGGUGCUACAAUGACUGGCUACCUGGUUCUUUUGCACUCUCUCCUUUCUAUGUCUGUCUCCUCUGUUCUGGAGCAAUGUGAUGGAGUGGACAGAGCAUGAGCUCUGGAGUUAGGCCUCUGUUCAAAUCCUGGCUCUGCCAUUUACUGAUUUUGUGACCUCGACCACGUUUUUGACCUUCCUGAGCUUCAGUGUCCUCAUCUGUGUACACCUCCUGGAUUGUUAAACCUAAAUGCCAAGGGAGGCAUUCGAGCACAGUGAACACAGAGCACAGUCUUAGGAGUGUGAAUGCUGACCCAACCUCUUACUGGCUGUGUGACUGUAGUACCUAACCUCUCUAAGUCCCAAUUUUCUUUCUUUCUUUCUUUUUUUUUUUUUUUUUUUGAGAUGGAAUCUUGCUCUGUUGCCAGGCUGGAGUGCAGUGGCCCAGUCUCAGCUCACUGCAACCUCUGCCUCCUGGGUUCAAGCGAUUCUCCUGCCUCAGCCUCCCAAGUAGCUGGGAUUACAGGUGUGAGCCACCACACUUGGCUUCUAAGCCCCAGUUUUCUAACCUCUUCAAUGAGAUGGUAACCAGACAAAACUUGUAGGGUUUUUAUGAAGAUAAAGGAGGUAACUCAGGGAAAGUACUUAACAUCUGGACACAUAGUUAACAUGAAAUAACUUCCAAUUGUAUAUUAUGAUUGUGUUGCUAUCUAUUACUUGUAUACCACCUAGCUCAUGCUAGGUACUUGUGGUAGCCAGCCUCCAGGAUGCCCCCAGUCAGGCCUUGAGAUGACUGCAGCCCUGGCUGACGUACGAUGGCAACCUCAUGGAAGACCCAGAGCCAGAACUGGCCAGCCAAACUGUCCGAGUCCACUGGGGGAUCUUAUGGCAAAACACAUAAAUCGGAUGGCUUAUAACCAAAAACAUUUAUUUCUCACAGUACUGAAGGCUGGGAAGUCCAAAGCCCCAGCAGAUUCAGUGUCUGGUGGGGGCCUGCCUCCUUACAGAUGGUGCCUUCUUGCUGUGUCCUCAUACAGUGGAUGGGGAAAAUUCUGGUCUCUUCCACCCCUUAUAAAGGUACUAAUCCCAUUCACAAGGGCUCCACCCUCAUGACCUAACCAUCUCUCAAAGGCCUCACCUCAUAAUGCC
rnacentral:lncRNA from 1 species